UGUUCAUGCAUCUGAGUACUCAAGAAUUCAACCAUUGAAUGAGUUUGAUAUGAUCAAAAUGGUGAGAAUGAAGAUAAAAAGGGGUAAUGUCACCAAGGGGGCAUCAACCCAUGCUUGGCGUAAGGAGCCACCCUUGUGAGGUCAGCUUGGCUCAUGGCAGGUCAACUCUAAUAGUCAACUCAACUCUUCAACUCGUUUAGGUCAACUCUUUCAUUGGUUAGUUGAGUCAACUUUUCCUUGACUUGGUCGGGUCAACUCUAUCCUAAAAGAAGUGGUUGGGUCAACUCUAUCCUAAAAGAAGUUCAACUUCUAGCUUUGGAAA